rnacentral:rRNA from 1 species
GACGAACGCUGGCGGCGUGCCUAAUACAUGCAAGUUGAGCGCUGAAGGUUGGUACUUGUACCAACUGGAUGAGCAGCGAACGGGUGAGUAACGCGUGGGGGAUCUGCCUUUGAGCGGGGGACAACAUUUGGAAACGAAUGCUAAUACCGCAUAAAAACUUUAAACACAAGUUUUAAGUUUGAAAGAUGCAAUUGCAUCACUCAAAGAUGAUCCCGCGUUGUAUUAGCUAGUUGGUGAGGUAAAGGCUCACCAAGGCGAUGAUACAUAGCCGACCUGAGAGGGUGAUCGGCCACAUUGGGACUGAGACACGGCCCAAACUCCUACGGGAGGCAGCAGUAGGGAAUCUUCGGCAAUGGACGAAAGUCUGACCGAGCAACGCCGCGUGAGUGAAGAAGGUUUUCGGAUCGUAAAACUCUGUUGGUAGAGAAGAACGUUGGUGAGAGUGGAAAGCUCAUCAAGUGACGGUAACUACCCAGAAAGGGACGGCUAACUACGUG